UACGAAGGGGGCUAGCGUUGUUCGGAUUCAUUGGGCGUAAAGGGUGCGUAGGCGGCGCGGUAAGUCGGGUGUGAAAUCUUGGAGCUUAACUCCGAAACUGCAUUCGAUACUGCCGUGCUUGAGGACUGGAGAGGAGACUGGAAUUUACGGUGUAAGCGGUGAAAUGCGUAGAUAAUCGUAAGGAAGACCAGUGGCGAAGGCGGGUCUCUGGACAGUUCCUGACGCUGAGGCACGAAGGCCAGGGGAGCAAACGGG
rnacentral:rRNA from 1 species